rnacentral:rRNA from 1 species
CACGUAGGGCGCAAGCGUUGUCCGGAAUUAUUGGGCGUAAAGAGCUCGUAGGCGGUUUGUCACGUCUGCUGUGAAAUCCCGAGGCUCAACCUCGGGCCUGCAGUGGGUACGGGCGGACUGGAGUGCGGUAGGGGGAGAAUGGAAUUCCUGGUGUAGCGGUGGAAUGACGCAGAUAUCAGGAGGAACGACCGCAUGGCGGAAGGCAGAUUCGUCUUGGGCCGUGA